UCGAAAAAGUUCAGUUGUAAUUUUUAUCUCAAACCCUCAACACCUUCCACAACAUCUGAAAGUAUUGGAAUGAAAUUUUACAAACUAUAAAAUUUCCAAGUAAAUAUUUUUCGGUUUGUGCUCCUAAAUCCGUGAAGCUUUUGGCAAAAACUGGCAAAACCCAAGAAAUACUCUCGUAUUUCAUCGGCAAAGAAGAAAUCAUGUGCGGCGGUUACGGUUGUGGCAGCUACGGCUAUGGUCCCUCUGGUCCAUGCGGGGCCUGGUGCGGGUCAUACUGCGGCCCCUCGUGCGGCCCCUGCUGUGGACCUUCGUGCGGUCCCUGCGGCUGCUCGGGCGGUUGCUGUGGGUCGCUCGGUUGCGGCCCAAGCGGGCCGGCCUGUUGGCCAUACGGGUUGUAUACUUGCUGAGCUUCAGAAAGAUUUCAGGAACCAAUGAGAGACCGAAGUAUCCAUCCACAUACUCGUAAAACGAGAGGUGCGUCUACUCCGACUACCUUUUUGGAUGAGCUGAAAAUUGUAUUAGGAAAGGAAACAUCUCAUUAAAAACCUGGAGGCUAUUGACAUAAAAACA